rnacentral:rRNA from 1 species
UACGUAGGGUGCGAGCGUUAAUCGGAAUUACUGGGCGUAAAGCGUGCGCAGGCGGUUUUGCAAGCCGGAUGUGAAAUCCCCGGGCUUAACCUGGGAAUGGCAUUCGGGACUGCAAGGCUGGAGUGCGGCAGAGGAGACUGGAAUUCCUGGUGUAGCAGUGAAAUGCGUAGAUAUCAGGAGGAACACCGAUGGCGAAGGCAGGUCUCUGGGCUGACACUGACGCUCAUGCACGAAAGCGUGGGGAGCAAACAGG